CAAUAGCGUAUAUUAAAGUUGUUGCAGUUAAAAAGCUCGUAGUUGGAUUUCUGGUGGGGGUCGCUGGUCCGCUGCGAAAGCGGCGUGUACCGAUGCGUACCUACCGCCAUCCUCGGGGGGACUGCCUGUGGGAUUAGUUUCUCGUGCGUAUGGACGCCCGUCUUUUACUGUGAAAAAAUUAGAGUGUUCAAAGCAGGCUGAGGCCGUUGAAUACAUUAGCAUGGAAUAAUAAGAUAGGACCUUGGCGGUCUAUUUUGUUGGUUUGCACGCCAAGGUAAUGAUUAAUAGGGAUAGUUGGGGGUAUUCGUAUUCAAUUGUCAGAGGUGAAAUUCUUAGAUUUAUGGAAGACGAACUACUGCGAAAGCAUUUACCAAGGAUGUUUUCAUUAA
rnacentral:rRNA from 1 species